CUUAACUUCUUUAGGUACAGGAAAAAAUAAAUCUACAGGUUUGCAAUGAGCUGCUUAGAUCCUCUAUUUGGGAACUUGGGCUUUCUACAUUUGCCCUUCAGAGAUCGAUUCAGAUAUCCAAGAGCUGCAACUUGGCCAGGCAGUGGUGAAAGCGC